UAAGCUCUGACGUGCUCCUGUUUUACAGUGAAAUUUUUAACAAUAAAUUACAACAAUUAAUUGUUAAUUUAUAAUAAAUCAGUUGAUUAACUCUCUGGCUACCAUUUGAGUGCAAAAUUAUUGCUGGAUGUCACGUAUUUUAGCCACAAAUCGCUAUUGUUUAAAGUGGCUAAAAGCGGCCGGGUCACGAAAAGAGGCCAUGGAAUUUUAUAAUACCAAAAUGACCGCAGAUACAAAAAGAUGGCCAAAAUUUAUUUGUAAAAUGUUUCUGAUAAAGUGAUACAAGUCUUGGCACUUGAUUCAACAACAAUCAAUGUGCCUGACGAAUAGUUAAAGCUAAUUAAGACUGAAUAUAAAGUAAUUUUUGGCUACCUAAAAAUGUGCUGGUAAUUCAUCAAACUGGUACACUUUAAACCAAGAGAAAGGCGUGUUAAAUAUCGAAAGUUAUUGUACUAAUUGAAACAACUGGAUUGAGUGGCAUGGUGCUGACAGAUAUAAAAGUGAUUGAACAAUAAAUUGGCUGUGUCAUAAUGAUUAUAGAAAGAAAAAACAAGUAAUGAAAAUGGUGAUGAUGCUGAUGAUGAUGAAAGGUAUGUUGGUUUUAGUUUAUCUUCGACAGAUUCAGCGAAUUUAAUAUGAAAUACGUCUAAUCAGUAUAUAGUUAUUGAAAUCUGAUUGAGUAUUUCAUAUUAAAUGCUGGUGCAACUAAACCACAAAUCAAAGAUCAGAAACGUUAUGUUGCAUUGAAAAAAAAAAAAAAACAAAUACUAGAGAAAUAGUUUUAAAUUAAAAAUUCAGUAUCUUGCGUUAUUUACUAAAGUUUGAGAGCUAAUUAUGACAGUGUUGUUACAUUGAGUAAUUUACUUUAAUGUACAACUAACUCGUCGGAGCUUAAAAAAAUGCGUAACGCGAUAAAUUUAUAAUUAUUUAUUAUAAAUUCGCGAAACAAAGAUUUAAAAAAAUACCCAACUGAUAAAAAUAAAAAGAGAAGAACAAAAAGAGAAGUAAGUGUUGCUUGAGAAGGAAAAUAAUCAUAGUAAAAUGACAAGAUCACUCGAGCCAUGAUCAUGAUGCUAAAAACUCCAGGGUGAUGAUAGAUAGUUUGGAGAAGAAACUGUCAAUCCAAGAUGACGAUACUGAUGCAACCAAAAUUGCUGUGUGAACAACAACCAAAGAAGAAUGGACGAUUGAAUCUGAUGAUGCCAUUACCAGAGGAAAGGAAAUAUCAGUCAAGUGACAUUAACAAGGCAGGACAGCAUGCAGGCACCACGAAACCACCUACUAGACGUUGAUGACAUGAGGCAGCCUGCUGAUUCAACUCAUCAACAAAUUCAUCCCUGGAUUCGAUCGAGCCCAGCUGAAUACAUCUACCUACAGACUGCGAUUUGAAUAAAUAAAUAAAACAAUUUUUUUAUAUAUCUUGAAAUUGUG